AGCAUAGAACCUUAGCUUCUUUUUAUGUGCCUUGAGUGACAGAUUGGCUUUCAUCAAAGAGGCCAGCGUUGAACUUAUAGAGCCAUUUUGCUUCCCUAAGAAUACUAAAUUGAUCCUCAUAUGCGGAACAUCUGGUGAAAAGCAAUUUCCACCCGAGUGUUUUAGUAUUUCCUUAUAAUUAAUUUCAUAUGUACAUGACAAGAGCUACUGGCCUCCCAGAACAGGCACACAAAAGCCAGCUUUGUUCACUCCUGUCAAAUAGUAAGCUGUGGUUCCUCGUUAAAUCUCGCUCUUGCUUUGACGGUCGAAGGUCCGCUUGGGAGAGGAAAGUCCCAUCUCCCACCUCAGACGGACGGAAGAUUAGCUUUCAUACGUAGACUCAAUCUACAGUAGACUCCCCUUUUCUCUCACCUCAGAGGCAAUUCAUCCACGGAGAGUCUUCAGACACCUCAGGCGGUGGAACAUGAAUGGACUGAGGAGGCUAUACACAAAUGAAUAAGAAUGGAAAAUAUGCUCCUGCACUGAUACUACAAGCAGAUAAAAGCAGGUGUUUUGAGUGUUUUGGAUAACUGCUGUAUUUGAAGGUACUGUAUGAAACAUCCUGUUUGCAGACGGCAGACUCAAAGCCUAGCACCUUCCCUGUGUUCUUCUGAAAAUCAAAGUGUCUCAUCUCUUAUCUUUUCAUUUCUUCACCUUCAUGCUUUGUGUCAUGCCAGCUGUUUUUCUAGCUCCACUUUUCUUUCAACUCAUAUCGGCACCAUGACAUAUCGAAGUUCUAAACUUUUCGACUCUUUUUGACAAAGUGUGACAGGAAUUGAAGCAUUAAUCUAACAUUAUAAUGCUGUUGAUUUCUUUAAUACUUAGAUUUCAAGGGCCCAAGUUUGCUUUGUGGCAACACUAAUCAAGUGACAUGUAUAGAUGUCUAUCUCACUUCCACGUCUUUUAUCUUCCAAUGGUAUUGGAGAAUCCAUCGCUGAAAAAUUGCAUUGAUCAUUUAACCCCCACUGACCUUGCUCAUAAUCUCCGGAAGGGAUAGCAUGACUCUUGAGUGAUGAGCAGAUGGUGAGAAGGAGCCCUACAGUCACCAGAGGAAUCAUGUCACCAAGAGGUCAAAGUCAUGAGGGGGCGCCAUUAUCUUGCUGAGCCCUCUUGUUUGCGACUUCAAAAGCAUUUAAAUACAACAGUAGACGUCCAGAGAACCUUUUGUGACCCAAGCUCUUUGUGCAAGAGUCUGGAGGGUGACUGGCUUCACUCAGACCUGUGACAGGUCUGGUGUGCUGUGCCUUAUGAAGAGUCUAAUGUUACACAAGCGGUUCCAGUAUUGGAGGCUGAUGACGAACAAGACAAACAGGGAGGCUGCUUCAUUUGCUUCUAACAAAAAACACAAAUAAGAAGGGGGAUUCAACAGUUAGCUAGUCCCCAAUCUGAGGUUUUUGUGAAGAGGAAGCAAUCUAAAGGGCCUUUAAUCAAUUUCCCCAUGAUGAGCAAUUGAGAUGAAAGGCUUGAGUGAGGGUCUCCCACUCCAAACACUGUGGGUUGGUUGGUGUAUAUGAGAGAUGGGCUUUAAUUUGUGUUCCUAGAUUGUCCAGCAAUCUUUAAAAGCUUAAUCGUUACCAAAGACACCCUUGCUGCCAUGUGUGAAAGGAAAUGGUUUCAAGACUCUUUGCCAUAAAGUCACACACCCAGUGUGACCACAAAGACUAAAAGCACUAUACAGGUUAAAGCAUUAAUCAAAUGCCCAAUUAACACUCGCUCUAUAACU
ensembl:lncRNA